GACGAACGCUGGCGGCGUGCUUAACACAUGCAAGUCGAACGGAAAGGCCCUGCUUUUGUGUGGUGCUCGAGUGGCUAACGGGUGAGUAACACGUAAGUAACCUCCCCUUGACUUUGGGAUAACUUCAGGAAACUGGGGCUAAUACUGGAUAGGAGCUCCUGCUGCAUGGUGUGGGUUGGAAAGUUUCGGCGGUUGGAGAUGGACUCGCGGCUUAUCAGCUUGUUGGUGGGGUAUUGGCUUACCAAGUCUUUGACGGGUAGCCGACCUGAGAGGGUGAACGGCGACAUUGGGACUGAGAGACGGACCAAACUCGUACGUGAGGCAGCAGUGGGGAAUCUUGCACAAUGGGCGGAAGCGUGAGGAAGCAACGCCGCGUGCGGGAUGACGGCCUUCGGGUUGUAAACCGCUUUCGCCUGUGACGAAGCGUGAGUGACGGUAAUGGGUAAAGAAGCACCGGCUAACUACGUG
rnacentral:rRNA from 1 species